ACGUCAUCAUUGAGUAAACUUUGACCCGGAACCUCACAGUCAGCAGACACUUCCUGGGAGGGAGGGUCUGCUGCUGAUUGGGUGGAACGUGUCUGCUGGCUGUGAGGUUCCGGGUCAAAGUUUACUCAAUGAUGACGC